ensembl:lncRNA
CUUAAUUUACUUUAACAUGAGCAUUCAUUCUUCUGAAAAUCCUAACAAAUUCAAAGUGAAUAAAGACUAGUAAAGAAUGUUCCUCACAUUUAAAUAAAUGAAUGAAUGAAUGAAUAAACAAACAAAACCAAACUAUAAAUUCCCACUAGUAAUACCUGAAUCCCUACGUAUGCAUUUAUCUUUGCUAACUCCUUUAUGAAUACACAUUGGAUGGGAUCAUAAGGCACAUACACUUAUGCGCAAUGUAGUGUAGCUAAUCCAUACAAUCGCUUCUCUGCCUUUUGGCAAAGAUCAAAUGUGUAGCUAAUACACCCAAUGGCUUUUUUCUUUUUCUUUUUUGACGUGGAGGAAAAUAUAACAUUUUCUGGAUUUUUCACCAAGUUAAUGUUAAAUAGUUUCAAUUGAACUUGUGAUAUUAAGAAACUGUGGAUUGAAACACAUCCCAUAAGGCAGUCAUUCUCACAGUGGGGUCCAUGAAGCAUCACCAGGGCAUCCAGGGUUUUUAAUUUAAUUACAGAGGUGUAAAUCACAACCCUCAGUCUACAGUGAAUAUAACUAUCCCUGGAAUUGAAGGAGUUAAUUUCAAAACUCAAUAACUUAAAACAAGUAGGCUGUUCAUGAAAUAAAUCUGUACUGAAGUUGUCUGUGUGAUUUAUUUCCCUUUUUAGUUAAAGGGAUCCCUGUAUACAAAGAGUUGAUUCCUGAAAGCAGAAGGAAUCUCAGGCACACGGAUUACAUUGUUAUGCAAUUAGCUUUGAAAAACAGCCUUAUGUCAAUGCAAAUGGGCAUUUAGACCUACAAAACAUGUGCAAAGAUGCUUAAGCUUAUUAGGGAAAGUUUUACUGACACUGUUUGUUAUUAGUGAUAAUAUAGCCACGUAACCUAGGCUAUUUUUUUCUUCUUCAUGUUUUUACCUUGGUUAUCCGACAUGUGCCGGAUAGAGGCGCUGGACAAAUCCGUAUUAGACAUCAUCAUCACCAUCAUCAUCAUCAUCAUCAACAACAACAGCGUCUGCAUGUGCACAAUACAGGGUUGUUUUCAAACCGACAUUAUAGCUGUUUCGGUAGAAAACUUGUUUUAUUUAUAGGCUAUUGGUCUAACGUAGAUACCGAGACGAGUCUUAUGCUUUGCUGUAGUAAUGUGUCGUUCGCGAACGAGUCGACUCUUUUAGGUGGAACCGAUUCGCAUAAUGAGCCGUUUGGAUUAUUUCUCUUCUUUUACAUUGUUAUAAGCAGUGCUGCUAUUCUUGCAUAGUUCAUUAACCAACAAGUUUCCACCGAAAGCUCUUAACAUCUGAGCUGCUCGUUAACGUGGCGUGUAACCCUAGGCGUGUGUAUGAGGAAACCUGACAUUGAGGAUCCUCUGCACCGCUGCCUGCUGGAGACAUGCUAAUCCAGUGCAUUGUGGGAGGCUUUCAGAUAUUAGGAUACAUAUAAAUUAAUCUUAUUAAUGAAGCACAGGUUCGGCACCACAAUAACACCACAGUAAAAAUGCAGGAAUGCGUAUUAUAUCUGUCAGUGGGCGUUUGCGGUGUCUUCUUUUUGAUUUGUCACUUGUUUAAAUAAAUAUAAUGCAACAAAAAAUGUUUUUUUCAUUAGAAGGUACAGUAAGAUUCAUAAACUAAUUUCAACCAUAUUUAGUGAAAGAACAAUCGCUGGUUGUAGUGCUUUGUCAGGUAUAGAAAAGGAAAAAAAAAGGCACUGAACCGUUUGGGAGGCGAAAGAAUCGGUGCUUAUUGGUGAGCCGAGUCAAAAGAUUUGAUUCGCAGUAAAGAGCCAGAAUUCCCAUCUCUCACCGCGGCAACGCUGGGUCUUUUUUCAACGAAGAAACGGUGUAUAAACUGGCGACCAAGUGCUUUACUGUCUCUCGUGUACAGGAGGAGAAAUGCAGUUAUUUGUUCGCUUGCAUCUUCACGCUUUUACACACACGCACACACUCAAGUAAACUAACAGUAGGCCUAUUUAAUCGGGAAAAGAUUACGUGUGAGCGCAAAACAGCGUUGAAUUUCCGGUGACAGUUCAGCAGGAAAAACUUAAUACAGUUCCCCAGAAAACCAUACUGUCUGUGGUCACAGUGGCACUAAAUCGACUGGCGGUGAGCACGUCACGCUAUGUAAGACCACCGAUCUCAACUCGUGACCAGAUCUGUGAUAUUCGUUACUGACAACAAUAGGGUCGAAAAUAUUGUGAAAAGUGUAACCCAACUCCAGAUCCAUCUCGACCCUAAGCAGGAUAAAGCGAGAGAGAGAGAGAGAGAUGCAGAUGGACUUGUGGAUCCCCCCCCUCAACAAAAGCUUCAUUAGGCUGUUUAUUUAUUAUUUGAAUUGGAGCUUCUUUUAAAAGUAUUUUACACACGACCACAACGUGCACAAAGCAAGUGUGUAUUUUCUAGCUGUCAAUCAAUGCAACCCAUUCCUGUCAAUCACCUCAAAGUCACGCGCUGAUAAAUAAUAAACCAAAAACUCUUAUAAAACAUAUUUAUUGUAAGGAACAAAAUAUUAAGAUAGACACGAAUGUGACCGGAA